rnacentral:rRNA from 1 species
UACGUAGGGCGCAAGCGUUGUCCGGAAUUAUUGGGCGUAAAGAGCUCGUAGGCGGCCUGUUGCGUCCGCUGUGAAAUCCCGGGGCUCAACCCCGGACUUGCAGUGGGUACGGGCAGACUAGAGUGUGGUAGGGGAGACUGGAAUUCCUGGUGUAGCGGUGAAAUGCGCAGAUAUCAGGAGGAACACCGAUGGCGAAGGCAGGUCUCUGGGCCACUACUGACGCUGAGAAGCGAAAGCAUGGGGAGCGAACAGG